rnacentral:rRNA from 1 species
GACGAACGCUGGCGGCGUGCCUAAUACAUGCAAGUCGAACGCUUCUUUCCUCCCGAGUGCUUGCACUCAAUUGGAAAGAGGAGUGGCGGACGGGUGAGUAACACGUGGGUAACCUACCCAUCAGAGGGGGAUAACACUUGGAAACAGGUGCUAAUACCGCAUAACAGUUUAUGCCGCAUGGCAUAAGAGUGAAAGGCGCUUUCGGGUGUCGCUGAUGGAUGGACCCGCGGUGCAUUAGCUAGUUGGUGAGGUAACGGCUCACCAAGGCCACGAUGCAUAGCCGACCUGAGAGGGUGAUCGGCCACACUGGGACUGAGACACGGCCCAGACUCCUACGGGAGGCAGCAGUAGGGAAUCUUCGGCAAUGGACGAAAGUCUGACCGAGCAACGCCGCGUGAGUGAAGAAGGUUUUCUGAUCGUAAAACUCUGUUGUUAGAGAAGAACAAUGACGUUAGUAACUGAACGUCCCCUGACGGUAUCUAACCAGAAAGCCACGGCUAACUACGUG